CCUACGGGGGGCAGCAGUGAGGAAUAUUGGUCAAUGGCCGGAAGGCUGAACCAGCCAAGCCGCGUGAAGGAAGAAGGUGCCAAGCAUUGUAAACUUCUUUUGUCAAGGAAUAAAAUCAGGCUCGAGAGCAUGACCGAGGGUACCUGAAGAAAAAGCAUCGGCUAACUCCGUGCCAGCAGCCGCGGUAAUACGGAGGAUGCGAGCGUUAUCCGGAUUUAUUGGGUUUAAAGGGUGCGUAGGCGGGCUGUUAGGUCAGCGGUAAAAGGCGGGGGCUCAACCCCGGCGAGCGGUUGAAACUGGCUUACUUGAGAUGUCAAGAGGUAUGCGGAAU
rnacentral:rRNA from 1 species